GAUGAACGCUGGCGGCGUGCCUAAUACAUGCAAGUCGAGCGAACAGACGAGGAGCUUGCUCCUCUGACGUUAGCGGCGGACGGGUGAGUAACACGUGGAUAACCUACCUAUAAGACUGGGAUAACUUCGGGAAACCGGAGCUAAUACCGGAUAAUAUAUUGAACCGCAUGGUUCAAUAGUGAAAGACGGUUUUGCUGUCACUUAUAGAUGGAUCCGCGCCGCAUUAGCUAGUUGGUAAGGUAACGGCUUACCAAGGCAACGAUGCGUAGCCGACCUGAGAGGGUGACCGGCCACAGUGGACAUGAGACGGGGCCAGGACCCCGAGGGGGGGCACCAGUGGGGAUUCCUCCGCAAGGGGCGAAGGCCGGAAGGAGCAGCGCCGGGGGAGGAAUGAAGGUCUUGGGAUCGAAAACCUCUUUUAUGGGGGAAAAAAAAAUGGUAAAGAAACUAUGCGCGUCUUAAGGGUCCCAAUCCAGAAACCCACGCCUAACUACGC
rnacentral:rRNA from 1 species